rnacentral:lncRNA from 1 species
AUGACUCUUAUUGAAUCAACUCCCGAUGCCGGAACCGGUGCUCUGAUCAGACAGGAUCCGCUGUUGAUGCCAGAUCCAGAGCCGCUUUUUUCCAAGUGCUAUAAGGAGGGUCAGCCCAGAAAGAGACUAGCCGGCCUUGGGUCUCCGGCUCUUAGAAAGAAGCUAAAUCCAUCUGCCUUCUACCACGAGUGCGCCCUCACUACACUACACUAA